UGCCAGAGUGCAGGAUGCAAUAUUUUCCCCUAAUUCAACUGAAGUACACAGGGGCAUUUUCUUCAACGUGCUGAAGUUCAAGGAUGAUGUUGGUGGGUGCAUAAUUUUACACCAGCAUAUAUAUGUAUACAUAUAAUAUUAUAGACAAGGCGAGUGAAGCAUACAAAUUCGAGUGAUCAUUAGUUCACACAGAAACUUAAACCAGGGGUCCCUUGCCAAAGAAUAGAUACGUGGUUCCAGCAACAUCAUCGGCCAGACAUACGUUCUCGGUGAACUAUACUUGCUGCGGUUACUCUUUUCACUUGAAGUGGUUUCAGGCUCAGAGCCACGAGACUAUAGCUAUUCGAUCAAGUGUCAAACUCAGGGUUCCAUGGUGAUGAUGACUCAGCUAAUUAGUUCUCCGAGAAUGGAUAGGAGUGACCGCCCCUCUCCCCAACCAUCCUCUCCAAGCCAUCACUGCGCUACACAUUGUAUAGGGCGCGGUCGUGGUAAUAUGCAUGGUCAUACUGCCAUGCAAUGCAUGGAGCUCUACAGCUACUCAAAUGCUCAGUACCUUCCCAAAUCCCUGCCUGCAAUGUCCCAGGGCGACAGUUCAUCUGGUGAAACAUACAUGGACUCCAGUGCAUCCUCACAUAUGGUAAACACGGAAGGUAUACUCUCCGACCUUUCCCCUUAUCAUGGUUCUGUGUCGUGCUUGGUGAUGGGUCCCUAAGGCCUUUAAUUUAUUAAGCCCUGCAUCGUAUUUAGUUUCCCUUUGAGAUAGUAUUGUAGAUAAAGAUAAACUAUUUUGGAUACUAUGAGGAUUUUAUACUGACUUUCAGAGCUGACAUUCAACCUUGAAAAGACUAACCUCUAAUUUGUUUGAAUCAUCAAGGAGUAGGUAACUCUUAUUCAUACUUAUGGCUUAAAGAGGGUUUUUACUUGUUAAUUUCUUGGCCUUCUCGUUGUGAAUGAAUUUGAAGCUCUUACAUAAAUCUUAUGACUAGGGUAAUUGGUUGGUAUCUUUGUAUGCUACCCUACGCUGGCCAUUUGCUACUUAGCAGUUGAGUUUUGCUCAACAUGUCCAAUUAUUAGUGCUCAAUUUUGCUCUACAGGUCCAAUGUUUUGUGGAAAGGCACAAAUGUUGUUAUAAAAAAGUACUGGAUUAUGCUAUGAUUUUAUUCACUCUUGAUUAUGUUUAUUUUUAUUCAUCAAGAGCUCUCGUUUAAAUAAUUGGAAUCCGUGUAGGUCAUAUAGGUGGUCUUCCUAAACAUAAACAUAAAAGUUUUCGAAAGUGAAAGGAAAAAAAAGAAAAAGAAAAAACAAAGAAGAAGGAGUCGUACUUCUAGCUUGAUUAAAUUUAUUUGCAUGCGAAGUGAUAUUCUUACUUCUAGAGAUCUAUUAAUAUGGAUUAGUCAAGAUGCACACCACAUGUAGCACAUGGCCUUUCGACUAGUUUUAUAAAAGAUAUAAAUAUAGAUUUAUGGGACUGAUUGUUAGUUUCUCUAUUAUUUUGCUUUUUCUUAAAAAAUUAGUUUUAAUUUAAAUGUUUUAAACCAUAUUAAUAUAGAUUUUUGGGAACAAUCAUUAUUUUUUUCAGUUAUUCGAGAUUUUUUUAAGAAAAUAAAUUUUAAAUUUUUUAUAACAUAUACAUAUAGAUUUAUGGGACCAUCAUAUUUUCUUUUUUUGAAUAUUUUAAAAUGUAAAAGAAAAUAUUUCAUCUAGAUGGCCUCAAGCAUCUGAAUUGCUUAAUGGAAUUUUUUUUUGGGCUUAUUCUACGAUAAUUUUUUCAACUUUUAAAAUUAUACAGAUAUAAAUUUGUGAAACCAGACAUUAUUUUCUCUAUUUUAAAAAUAUAUAGGCAUAAACUUCAUGUAAGUAUUUAUUCUUGUAAACAUGACUUGAAUUGAAUGACAGCAUUAAGGUCUGAAUCGGAUUGAGUGUAUUUGGGGAUGACAGUUUGCCCAUCACCAAAAUCAGUAGCGGGUGCAACAUCAAGUCUUCACAUACAUUUUGGGACUUAUCAUAGCAACAACACCUCAAUAGCAACAAGGAGGCGCCCAAACUUAAACACAAACAACUACAAUAUUAACUUGGUAGCCAAGAAUCUCCAUCGUCAACUUCCCAUCAACUCUUUUGAUUUAUGAAUGUUGAUUGUAGGCAUAAUGCUUUUUGUGGCUUGAAGCAGAUCUGAAUGCUUUUGGGCGGAUCGAUUCUUCUUUUUUGGGAAUAUAUACCCUUUUUGGGGGUAGUGAAUGUCGUAAGCUACUGUAGGAUAGUGGAGUUUAUGAUUUUUGCGAAUAUAUUCCCUUUUGUGGAAAUAUGAUUUUUAUAGAUAUAUUCCCUUUUGUGGAAACAUACCCUUUUGUAGAUAGUGAUGGAUAUGUUAAUGUAGGAAAUGUACGAUGGAUGUGAACCUCCAUUUCAA